rnacentral:rRNA from 1 species
GACGAACGCUGGCGGCGUGCUUAACACAUGCAAGUCGAACGGUGAAGGGACUGGUUUUGCUGGUCCUGGAUGAGUGGCGAACGGGUGAGUAACACGUGAGUAACCUGCCCCCUUCUUCUGGAUAACCGCAUGAAAGUGUGGCUAAUACGGGAUAUUCUGGGUCUGUCGCAUGGUGGGCCUGGGAAAGAUUGCGCCUUUUUUGGUGUUUUUGGUGGGGGAUGGGCUCGCGGCCUAUCAGCUUGUUGGUGGGGUGAUGGCCUACCAAGGCGGUGACGGGUAGCCGGCCUGAGAGGGUGGACGGUCACACUGGGACUGAGACACGGCACAGACUCCUACGGGAGGCAGCAGUGGGGAAUAUUGCGCAAUGGGCGCAAGCCUGAUGCAGCGACGCCGCGUGAGGGAUGGAGGCCUUCGGGUUGUGAACCUCUUUCGCCAGUGAAGCAGGCCUGCCUCUUUUUGUGGGUGGGUUGACGGUAGCUGGAUAAGAAGCGCCGGCUAACUACGUG